rnacentral:rRNA from 1 species
GUCUACGGCCAUGCCACCCUGAACAAGCUUGAUGUCUGAUCUUAGAAGCUAAGCAGGGUCGAGCCUGGUUAGUUCUUGGAUGUGGAACCACCUAGGAAGACCAGGUGCUGUAGGCA